ensembl:snRNA RNU6-1031P RNA, U6 small nuclear 1031, pseudogene
GUGCUUGCUUUGGCAGCACAUAUACUAAAAUUGGAGUGAUACAGAGAACAUUAGCAUGGCCCUUGCACAAGGAUGACAUGCAAAUUCGUGAAGUGUUUUAUAUUUUU